ACACCUGCUUGGAACGGGAAGAGUACAAAAAAGACGCAUGCAGAGAGAGAAGCCGCUUGCUGAAAGGCUUCUUAUGACAGUCUUAUUGGAAGGUCGCCCGGGAGCAAAAUUUCUUGAACUCGAGUAGAGAAAUUCGGGGCGCACCCGUUAUCCGUUUAAGUGCAUGAACGUAUUGUUCAUGAAAAAAGGUGGUACCGCGAAAGAGCUUUUCGUCCUUUAC
rnacentral:ncRNA from 1 species